UACGUAGGGUGCAAGCGUUGUCCGGAAUUAUUGGGCGUAAAGAGCUCGUAGGCGGUUUGUCGCGUCUGCUGUGAAAACGCGAGGCUCAACCUCGCGCCUGCAGUGGGUACGGGCAGACUAGAGUGCGGUAGGGGAGAUUGGAAUUCCUGGUGUAGCGGUGGAAUGCGCAGAUAUCAGGAGGAACACCAAUGGCGAAGGCAGAUCUCUGGGCCGUAACUGACGCUGAGGAGCGAAAGCAUGGGGAGCGAAC
rnacentral:rRNA from 1 species